GAAAAACGUAAAAAUAAUAGUAUCUACCUCAUAGGGGUGCUGUGAGGAUUUAAUGAGAUACCAUAUUUUAAGGCACAUAGCAGUGCCUGGCGAGUAGGGCUAAGUCAGCGUUGGCUGCUGUUAUUUUCUCUGGAGGAUAAUAUUUGCCAGGGAGAGCAGUGGAAUCAGGCAGAACUGGACUGCAAUCCUGUUUUCCCCACACAUUAACAACUGUAUUCUUUUGGGCAAAACAAUCUCUCAGCAUCAGCUUCGUGGGUAAAGACAAAUUACUUCAUAAGAAUAAACUCAGGCCAGCCAAAGUGCCUGGGUGACAGAGCGAGACCCUGUCUCAAAACAAAACAAAACAAACAAACAAAAAAGAAGAAAUUCAGGCCGAGCGCAUUGGCUCAUACCUGUAGUCCCAGUACUUUGAGGAGCUGAGGCGGGGGAUCGCUUGAGCCCAGGAGUUUGAGAGCAGCCUAGGCAACAUGGUGAAACCCCAUCUCUAAAAAAGUACAAAAAUUAGCUGGGCAUGGUAGUGAGUGCCUGUAGUCCCAGCUACUCGGGAGGCUGAGGCAGGAGGAUCGCUUGAACCCAGGAGGCAGAGGGUUGCAGUGAGCCGAGAUUGUGCCUCUGCACUCCAGCCUCAGCAACAGAGCAAGACUCUGUCUCAAAAAAAAAAAAAAAAAAAGAAUAAAUUCCGGCCGAGUGUGGUGGCCUACACCUGUAAUUUCAGCACUUUGGGCAGCCAAGGUGGGCUUGAGUCCAGGAGUUCAAAACCAGUCUGGGCAACAUAGCAAGACCUCAUCCCUACUAAAAAAAAAAAAAAAAUUAGUUGAGUGUGAUGGUGUGUACCUAUGGUCCCAGCUACUUGGGAGGCUGAGCGGUGAUUGUGACACUACAGCCUGGGCAACAGAGUGAGACCCUGUCUCAAAAAAAAAAAAAGAAAAAAGAAAAGAAAGAAUACAUUCACUGAUCUAUGUGAAUAUGUGAAAGUAC
rnacentral:lncRNA from 1 species